GACGAACGCUGGCGGCGUGCUUAACACAUGCAAGUCGAACGAUGAAGCCUAGCUUGCUAGGUGGAUUAGUGGCGAACGGGUGAGUAAUACGUGAGUAACCUACCUUUAACUCUGGGAUAAGCCCGGGAAACUGGGUCUAAUACCGGAUACGACCAAUCUCCGCAUGGGGUGUUGGUGGAAAGCGUUAUGUAGUGGUUAUAGAUGGGCUCACGGCCUAUCAGCUUGUUGGUGAGGUAACGGCUCACCAAGGCGACGACGGGUAGCCGGCCUGGGAGGGUGACCGGCCACACUGGGACUGAGACACGGCCCAGACUCCUACGGGAGGCAGCAGUGGGGAAUAUUGCACAAUGGGCGCAAGCCUGAUGCAGCGACGCCGCGUGAGGGAUGACGGCCUUCGGGUUGUAAACCUCUGUUAGCAGGGAAGAAGAGAGAUUGACGGUACCUGCAGAGAAAGCGCCGGCUAACUACGUG
rnacentral:rRNA from 1 species